rnacentral:tRNA from 1 species
UAAACUCUACUAUUAAGGA